AGCGUGUGCGUGUGUGCCUACUAGCCUGCUCCCCGCCACCGCCACCGCCACUGCCGAUCGAAACAUAAAAGCGAAACGAAAGAGGUGGUGGACAUCGACGCCGGCCAAUCACGAGCAACGCGAUAACGCACCUGAUCGCACACGCGCACGACAAGAUGCUGAACUGCUUCUUUGGCGCUGAGCUGAAGCCGGACGGGGUCCCGAUAAGCUUCACCAUUCCAAAGGGGACGACGCUCGUCAUCACGCAGUGCGCUGUCACGAGUGUGGUGCCGCCACAGCAGUCGACGGACGCCGGCGCGUCUUCGUCUCCAGCAGUGGCAGCCAAGGCGUACAGCCCUGUUACACUGUGCGUGCAGGGUCACGGCCUGCCCACUCGCUUCGCCGUCUGCUCUUUGUCCCCGGCGCAGCAUAUCACGUACUGCCCCUUGCAGCUUCUCUUCUCUAAGCCGGUGUCGUUUGUGCUCGUGCCGCAGACGGGGUCUACGGCUGCUGCUGGUGCGUCGUCGUCACCCUCGCCAGCUCCGCAUCCAGGUAAGAAGACGAGGCGGAAUCAGAAGCACAACAAAACCGCAGCAGGUGCUCAUGGUGCUGGCGCAGAAGCCACCGCUGCCUACCCGACGGUGCACCUGACCGGCUACUAUGAGCGUGCCGCAGACGAGGACGAGGAAGAUGGCAGCAUGGCCAUGGACGCCAUGGAGUCGAGUGAUGACGGGGAGAACGACGACCUCUCCGAUGACGAGUAAUCGAAAAGAGAAAAAGCAAAAAAAAACGAGUUGCUGUAGAGGCGGAGGCGGAAAGGGCGCCUUUCCGUUUGUGCGCCGCGAGUUGAACGCGUAACAGAUGAUCCACAUAAAGACCCGUGAACCAGAGCAAGCACCCGCACACAACAUGAGAUCAUGGAGGAACCUCCAUCGCUAGGCAAAUGUGUUUCACGUGCAGCAUGCCGCCGUUGGCUUCCUGGUCUGUUGGGAGACUGCGAGGUGGAGGACGAAAUCCGAAGGAGACGGCGAUGCCGAAAUAUGCAAACACACGCAUGUGUGCACGUGCGAUGAGGCGUACGUGAGGUUAUCGGGUGAUGGCGCAGUUGAUGAAGGAAGCAAAUCUAAGAGUCACAGGGCAACCAACGCGAGUCACUUACCCCCCAUAUCCACCCACACAUGCACAUACAUGUACGCAUGCGCAGCUUCUAUGCUGCGGAUCCGCACAGCUGCUUCCAUUUUUUUUCUCAAGCCGCGAGUGGUGGCGUCAGCUCUGUGUGUGCGUGCGUGCGCGCACGCAUCCUUCUCUCUUGGCUUCAUCUUCGGUAUCUCGCCAAGCAACCACCCAGUCGCCAUACACCUUCUCUUGUGCACUGCUCGGUUCAUCUCUCUUCACUCACCUUUCGUAUUCUGCCCACCUGAACGUCGCGCAUCUCUUCAG
rnacentral:misc_RNA from 1 species